GAUGAACGCUGGCGGCGUGCCUAAUACAUGCAAGUCGAGCGAACAGACGAGGAGCUUGCUCCUCUAACGUUAGCGGCGGACGGGUGAGUAACACGUGGAUAACUUACCUAUAAGACUGGGAUAACUUCGGGAAACCGGAGCUAAUACCGGAUAAUAUAUUGAACCGCAUGGUUCAAUAGUGAAAGACGGUUUUGCUGUCACUUAUAGAUGGAUCCGCGCCGCAUUAGCUAGUUGGUAAGGUAACAGCUUACCAAGGCAACGAUGCGUAGCCGACCUGAGAGGGUGAUCGGCCACACUGGAACUGAGACACGGUCCAGACUCCUACGGGAGGCAGCAGUAGGGAAUCUUCCGCAAUGGGCGAAAGCCUGACGGAGCAACGCCGCGUGAGUGAUGAAGGUCUUCGGAUCGUAAAACUCUGUUAUUAGGGAAGAACAAAUGUGUAAGUAACUAUGCACGUCUUGACGGUACCUAAUCAGAAAGCCACGGCUAACUACGUG
rnacentral:rRNA from 1 species